AUGGUAGGCAUUCCAGACUGGGGAAGAACACAAACAAACAAGCUGGGCCAGGUGGGUAAAGUACUUGUUGAGCCAAUAUGAGGAUCUGAGAUGGGGUGUUCAGCAUCUCCAUGGAAAGCUGGGUGUGCCAGUGUCUGUAAGCACUGUUUUUUUUUUUUGUUGUUUUGUUUUGUUUUGUUUUUGAGACAGAGUUUCUCUGUGGCUUUGGAGGCUAACCCAGAACUAACUCUUGUAGACCAAUCUGGUCUCAAACUCACAGAGAUCCUCCUGUUUCUGCCUCCUGAGUGCUGGGAUUAAAGGCGUGCAACACCACUGCCCCACUCUGGCUAUGUGUUCGGGGGAGGCGUAUACAGGGAUCUCCUGAGCUAGUUGGCCAGUCAGUAUAGCUCACUCAGUGAGCUUCUGCGAAGAUCCUGUCUCAAAAAUAAGGCAGAGAGCAACUGAGGAAGACAGCUCUAACAGUGACCUCAAGUCUCCUUGUGCAUGCAGGCACACACGUGUACACCUACCCAGCUGCACACACAGGAAUGUGCAAGCAUGUAUACACUGCAUACACACAAUAAGAAAAAAAACAGUUCUAAAAGACAACCUAUUUGGAAGACACAUCUGCCUUGGUUAGAAACUUCAGGACAGGUUGCAUGGAGGGAAGAGAAUGGGAGGGCAGGCUGGGACGCCAAGGUCCUUGAGCUGGCAGUGGAAACCUGCUGGAACGCAGGCAGAGGAGGGUAGGUUCCCUCUCCCACCUGGGGUCUUUGGGAAGGGCGGGUGGAGUUUGGCAGAUCUGCUGAUGCCCUAAUUAAGCCGCGGGUACGUUUCCCAGCCCAACUGUCAACCAACGCGGCUGUGCGAGCCAGGAAUGAAUAUUCCCAAAGCGCCAACAGAAGGAAGUGCUUCACAAAAACGGAGCCCGAGGGCGUGAAGGGAAAACAAGCCCUGUUCACACGCAGGCAGACAGCAGCCGCCGCUCAGCACAGCCCGGAGGAGGCGGAAACGGGAGCCUAACAGAAGCAGCUCUGCUGCCGGCACCUUGAAUCCCCAGUCCCAAGGGCUCACAGCAGCUCUGACGACCUGCACAAGACCAGGGAAAAGCUGGGCCAUGUUGGC
ensembl:lncRNA